UACGUAGGGUGCGAGCGUUAAUCGGAUUUACUGGGCGUAAAGCGUGCGCAGGCGGCCCGUUAAGACAGGUGUGAAAUCCCUGGGCUCAACCUAGGAAUUGCGCUUGUGACUGGCGGGCUCGAGUACGGUAGAGGGGGGUGGAAUUCCUGGUGUAGCAGUGAAAUGCGUAGAGAUCGGGAGGAACACCGAUGGCGAAGGCAGCCCCCUGGGCCUGUACUGACGCUCAUGCACGAAAGCGUGGGGAGCAAACGGG
rnacentral:rRNA from 1 species